rnacentral:rRNA from 1 species
UACGAAGGGGGCUAGCGUUGUUCGGAAUUACUGGGCGUAAAGGGCGCGUAGGCGGCUCUGAUCGUCGGAUGUGAAAGGCCUGGGCUCAACCUGGGAAUGGCAUCCGAUACGGCGGGGCUGGAGUGUGGGAGAGGUUGGUGGAAUUCCCGGUGUAGAGGUGAAAUUCGUAGAUAUCGGGAGGAACACCAGUGGCGAAGGCGGCGAUCUGGGAAGAUACUGACGCUGAGGUGCGAAAGCUAGGGGAGCAAACGGG